AAGAAAGGGUCGUAGCUUACUUUUCCAUUCCAAUUUCAGUCUCCCUCCCACCUCUUUUCCCCAAUUUCAAUCUCCCUCCAACACCUCCAAAACCCUAAAAUCUCAAACUCACUCACUCACCAAUCUCAAUUUUCGCUCAGUCGCUCAAUCGCUCAAUUUUCGCUCCGUCGCUCAGUCGCCAUUCACCAACUCAGUCGCUCAGUCGCCGUUCACCAACUCAGUCGCUCCUCACUCCUUCCUCCUUCCUUUUCCUCGUUAUGGCUUCACACGCUCUCGCUCUCACACUCCCAACCUAGCCUACACACUCGAUUCAUAUUCUUGUCACUUCCAAACCUAGCUUCUCACAAUCGGUCCAAUAGUUCCAAUCGGUGCUACAAUUGCUCAGUUUCCAACUCACUCAGUCCACAAUCCAUCAUCGUUGAUUUUAUUGCUCUAAAAGCCUGUGUGGUCGUUUUUUGUUCUUCUUCUAGAAGCCGUGUCCGCCGUGUUCUCAAUCGCUCAAGAAACCACUGUCGCCGUCCUUCCUUCCUUCAUUCACUGUAUACCGCUGCCGCCGUUCAUCAGGAACUUGGAUCAACUUGAGGUGUUAUCGAAGAAAUAGGAGAAGCUUAAUCAAAGACUAUAAGAGCCAAGGCGUCUUCACAAUCCAUUGCUGCAACUAGACUGUUUAGGCAAGCAGACAGGGAUGUCUGGACGAGACAAGGAUAAGGGUAAGGCUCAUGUUGUAGAUCAUGGGAAGCCGAAGAAAAAGAAGAAUGGAAGAAUAGAUGUUUCCUCAGACCCUACGACGACAAUGAUGAUGAUGAUGAUCAUGAUGAUGAGGAGGAGGACGAGGACGAGGAGAGGGAUGAUGAUCAUAACGAGUAAUUUAUAUUCUUUUCAGUUGCUGUUUUUUGGUUAGGGAUUUUGGGCACUUUUGGGGUGUUUUAGGUGGUUACUGUCAAAGAAAAUUUAACUUGCAUAUAUGAAUUUUGUUUUAUGUAAUUAUUUAUCAACAUGACAUGUUAUCAAAAAAUUUGGGUUAUUUUCAAAUUUUGGCGCA